GCCACAAAUACUCAAUAAAAACCACUUCUUAUAACAAUGGCUUUCUGAAGGGCAUCUCUAAAAACAUACAGCUCUGAUUCUUCAAGUGAAUGGGCUUAACGCAGCAGACGGCCAUAGCAUAUUCCACUACAACCAGCUAAGAACAAGAAGAUGAGAACAGCAGACAUGUUAGCAGGAAAACAGGACUACUGGCUAUUGGCGAAAUUACAGUAUCUUGCCUUGUGUCAUAAGUCCACUGGGCAAUCUAAAGGGGUUUGUUUUUAUGGGGACGUUUUUAUAUUAGUCUAUAUUAACAAAUAAGCAACAUUUGAAUGUGACUGCCUAACUAAAUGUUGUUAGUCAUGUGCAUCCCUGGACUGAUUGUUCCAAAUGUCGGUGCUGACCCAAUGGUUAAAAACAAAUGGCCUAUUCAUUUUGAAAGAUAACAACGUUAUGAUUACUUUUAUAGCCACACAUUUUCUAGAACAGUCUACAUUUUCAAGCAGGAUAAUGUUCCAUGUCACAAAGCACACAUCAUCUCAAGUUGUUUCCAUUUGCAUGACAGUUGCUCCUGUUUACUCCAAAGAAAAACACAUUCCCCAUAUUUCAAUUCAAGAGGAUAUUUCUGUGAAAUUCACAGCAUUAUUUGUGUUUCCAAAAUUCUAAAAAAGAAUAUGUGAU